GACGGAGGGUGCAAACGUUGUUCGGAAUCACUGGGCAUAAAGCGCACGUAGGCGGUCCGCUAAGUCAGAUGUGAAAUCCCCCGGCUCAACCGGGGAACUGCACCUGAUACUGGCGGGCUCGAGGACGGUAGGGGUGAGUGGAACUCCAGGUGGAGCGGUGAAAUGCGUAGAUAUUCGCAAGAACACCAGUGGCGAAGGCGGCUCACUGGCCCGAUACUGACGCUGAGGCACGAAAGCGUGGGGAGCAAACAGG
rnacentral:rRNA from 1 species